rnacentral:rRNA from 1 species
UAAGGAAUAUUGGACAAUGGACGCAAGUCUGAUCCAGCCAUGCCGCGUGAAGGAUUAAGGUCCUCUGGAUUGUAAACUUCUUUUAUAAGGGACGAAAAAAGGUCUUUCUAGAUCGUCUGACGGUACCUUAUGAAUAAGCACCGGCUAACUCCGUGCCAGCAGCCGCGGUAAUACGGAGGGUGCAAGCGUUAUCCGGAUUCACUGGGUUUAAAGGGUGCGUAGGCGGGCAGGUAAGUCAGUGGUGAAAUCCUAGAGCUCAACUCUAGAACUGCCAUUGAUACUAUCUGUCUUGAAUAUUGUGGAGGUAAGCGGAAUAUGUCAUGUAGCGGUGAAAUGCUUAGAUAUGACAUAGAACACCUAUUGCGAAGGCAGCUUACUACGCAUA